rnacentral:rRNA from 1 species
GCCGGCAGCUAGCUCUCUGCAACUCUCACAUGGUCGCCCACUGAAGCUAAGCAGGGCUGCGCCCGGUCAGUACCUGGAUGGGAAACCACAUGGGAAAGCUAGGUUGCUGCCAGAA